ACGUGCGUGUUGCCUGCGAAAGGCAACGUGCACACCGUACAGCCUCAGCGGAGGACAUAUUAGGAAAAACCUACCUCACUGGUCUUGACAUUUUGCAGAAAUACUGUAGAGGUUAAGAAUGUAAGAAAGGGGAAAGGAAAUCUAGAAAAAUAAAAACAAAAUCGUCCCGCUCUGCAACUCCAACGUGCGCAACGAGACCUUCCAACUCCAACGCCCCGGCUACAGCGUAAAACUAAAUCUAAGACAACGAUUUGUCUUCCAAACGCGAUUUUAGUUUAUUUUUUUACCUUCAGCUACUCAAAAUGGUGAAUAAAACAAACUGAAACUGCAGCCUAUGCGCAACCUAACGGAGUGGCCCUUGGCAUAAAAGACCGCCCAUCGUCGCCGCUGAGAGGAGAGCAUCAACACUCCAAAGCUUCCAUUGGGCAGUUUGAAUGAUAAUUUACUUUUUGGUUGGAUGUUUAAGUUGCUCAUCAAACCCAGUGGUUCAACCCAUUUACCCUCCCCCUUUCAAAGAUAGGUUGAGAAUGCACUGCUAAGAAAACAAAAAGAGGCCCUCGGUGUGGAUGCAAGUUGCCCGAAUUUGUGUUCGAAAUGACCACAAUGUAACUUUCUAUUGGGAAAUAUGCGCGGCCUGCCAUCAUGUAGUUAGUUACAUGAGUGUCUAUAGAAGGCUAUGCAUUUGUAAUUAUUUUAUUUUCCACUGAGGAGGGCUUGGGGUGCUGACACUGUAUCCCCAGGCACUAAAUAGUAAGCUUAAUUGCACAGAAGACAGUCAGCAAAGUGAGGAGCUGGAAUUAUUGUGGAUCUCCAAGGACGUGAAUCCGUUAAUCGCUUGAAGGCCUCCAUUACCUGCAUUUAGCCUCCGCUACACAGCCACAGAGUACUAGAAAUGAUAAUGUAAUUCAUUUCAAUAGAGAACAAUUAGAAUAAAGAGAACUCCACGGAGGAUGCACAAGUAGAAUGGACUGUUUUCUGGGAAAAGGGGAUUUUAAAUAGCCGAUGUCCAUCACUAACAACCCAAUGGGCACACCACGUAAUUUCAAUGUGGAGAAUUGGGUAAUAUUUGGUAGAUCGGUUGAUUAAUGAGAUUUCAACUUAUUUUUACCCACUUAAAAAAACUGCCUAAGGUUUGUUGAAUUCCCAAUGUGUUAUCGCUAUGCUUUGAACCAGCUAACAGCACACACAAAUUGGAAUGGAAAAUAUAUGUCGGAUUUUUGGUUUAGUUGUCAGCAAAAUGUGUUAACACUGUGCUUUCAACCAUUUAAAAGCACACCAAAGUUCAAAUGGGAGUAUAAUGUCAGAUAUUUUAAUUUAUACAACAAUUUAAGGUGUUGUCACUGUGCCUCAAAUUAUAGCUCAACCAAAUGGCCUGGAUUGCAAUUGAGAUUAUUAAAGUACAUGGUGAAAGUUCUCAAUGCCA